rnacentral:rRNA from 1 species
UAGGGAAUAUUAGAAAUGGACGAAAGUCUGAUCUAGCAACACCGCGUGUGCGAAGAAGGCCUUCGGGUCGUAAAGCACUUUUUGGAAGGAAUAGGAAGGAAUGUACUUCCAGAAUAAGUCUCGGCUAACUACGUGCCAGCAGCCGCGGUAACACGUAGGAGGCAAACGUUAUCCGGAUUUACUGGGCGUAAAGCGCGUGUAGGUGGUACUGUAAGUAGGGCGUGAAAGCUCCCGGCUCAACUGGGAGAGGCCGUUCUAAACUACAGAACUAGAGGAUGGUAGAGGGAGGUGGAAUUCCAGGUGUAGCGGUGGAAUGCGCAGAUAUCCGGAGGAACACCAGUGGCGAAAGCGGCCUCCUGGACCAUUCCUGACACUCAGACGCGAAAGCUAGGGUAGCAAACG